GGACUGUCUCUGCCGGCUGGCUCCGUGCUCGUCACCGAACGGUCGGCAGGCGAUCCGCGUCGUCGCGCCAGGUGGGAUGGUGCCCCAGAGGCUGGUUCUUGUGUUGCCUACCCCUCCGUGGGAAGCACCACUUGCGGUAGCCUCCAUCCGGCGCCUUCCAAUGGGCGCAGGAGGACAGCGAAGCGCCCCCCGCGUUCCACCGAGCCUUGUCGGUCGCGUGGCCCGCGGGGACGUGCAAUGCUCUCGGACCCAGCGCACGCCGUGGGCGAGGACUACGUCCCAGUCCCAAGAGAAGCUUUGUAUGACGGCCGCUCCCGACCCUGACCGCCUCGGCGGUGCGAGGGCGGCGGGCGACGCCGCGGAGGAAUGCUACCUGGUUGAUCCUGCCAGUAGUCAUAUGCUUGUCU
rnacentral:misc_RNA from 1 species